GACGAACGCUGGCGGCGUGCCUAACACAUGCAAGUCGAACGGAGCAGAGACUUCGGUUUUUGCUUAGUGGCGAACGGGUGAGUAACGCGUGAGAAACCUGCCUUUCAGUGGGGGACAACAGUUGGAAACGACUGCUAAUACCGCAUAAUGUUGCGAGAUCGCAUGGUCUUGCAACCAAAGCUUUAUGUGCUGAAAGAUGGUCUCGCGUCUGAUUAGCUAGUUGGUGAGGUAACGGCUCACCAAGGCGACGAUCAGUAGCCGGUCUGAGAGGAUGAACGGCCACAUUGGGACUGAGAUACGGCCCAGACUCCUACGGGAGGCAGCAGUGGGGAAUAUUGGGCAAUGGGGGAAACCCUGACCCAGCAACGCCGCGU
rnacentral:rRNA from 1 species